GGCUCAGGAUGAACGCUAGCGGGAGGCUUAAUACAUGCAAGUCGAGCGGCAAGUUUUGAUAGCAAUAUUGGAACCUAGAGCGGCGCGACGGGUGAGUAACGCGUACAUGACCUGCCCUAUACGUGGGGGAUAGUCUUGGGAAACUGAGAAUAAUCCCGCAUGUGAUUAGAAUGCUGCAUGGACAAAUUAAUUAAAGCUGAGGCGGUAUAGGAUGGGUGUGCGUCUGAUUAGCUAGUUGGUAGUGUAACGGACUACCAAGGCGAUGAUCAGUAGGGGGCGUGAGAGCGUGACCCCCCACACGGGUACUGAGACACGGACCCGACUCCUACGGGAGGCAGCAGUAAGGAAUAUUGGUCAAUGGAGGGAACUCUGAACCAGCCAUCCCGCGUGAAGGAUGAAGGGGCUCUGCCUUGUAAACUUCUUUUGCAUGGGACGAAAAACUUAAUUUAUUAAGGACUGACGGUACCAUGAGAAUAAGCACCGGCUAACUCCGUG
rnacentral:rRNA from 1 species